GUCUCUGCGGAGCCUUCUCUUCUCAAGCUGAACAAGCCCAGUUCCCUCAACCUUUUCCUCACAGGAGAGGUGCUCCAGCCCUCUGGCCAUCUUAGUGGCCCUCCUCUGGACCUCCUCCAAGAACUCCACAUCCUUCCUGUGCUGGGGGCCCCAGGCCUGGACGCAGUGCUCCACGUGGGCCCUCACAGGAAGAGCAGAGUAGAGCGGGACAAUCCCCUCCCUCUCCCUCCUGGCCACCCCCAGGGACCUAAAGCCUUAACCCCAGCUAGAGAGGCCAGCACUGACCCCAGGGCCUGAAGCCACAGCCUGACAGGCUGGAACCAGUCCACGGAGUUCAAGCUGUGUCUAAAGACACAGCCCCACCCUGAGAGGCCAGCACUGGCCUCGAGGCACACAGGGGUGCAUUCCAAUUGGUUUCUACUGAUUCCUAUUGGUCUCUAUUCACCCCCAUCAGUCCUUGCUGGUCUUUUCCAGACGCUGACGCAUUCCUUUCACAAAAACGAGGUCUGAUGUCCCACUUGUUUUCGGGUUUGUUGCCCGUUUGUAAAAUAUUUUAUGACGUAUACAUAUCAAUCUCUGUCUCGUCCCACUCAGUGCAUUUUGAGGGGGUGAAUCUUUUUCCAUCUCCCGAGUCGCGCCUCCCCUGGUCAGCAAAGGGUCACUGCCGCAAUGGAGUCAUCCAAACUCAGAGGAUUAAUACACAUCCAUUUAUUGACAGCAUUCUUAACAACUGACAACAGCCCACUGGAGGUAACAUUGCCUAAUGGGCUAAUUACAAUUCAUAAGCCUUACAGGUAACCAGCUGAAGGAAAUUGCUACGAAGACUCAAAGAAUCCAAGAAGCCACGUCCUGGCGUCAGGUGCACAUCUUCAGUCUGAUGGGUCGUCGGAGGUGGUGGUGUUCAGUUGACGACGACAGUACCAACUUAUUUGUAAGUCCAAAGUGGUGGCACUCAGCCGCCUGCCGGCACUGCCCCACAGCUGUGCCUGUGCGCCCCUGGGGGCAGGAGCACAGGAGAGGCCCCUUCCGUGGGGACAGAGCUCUCUCCCUGCACCCCACCACUGCGCAGCCCCGAGCUGGGAGGGGGGACUGAGAGGGGCGGUCAGAUGGGCAGCAGCCCAUCACAGACGACACGCAGGCUCCUGCUCGCAAAGUACGCCGGGGAAGCGUACAUUGCCUGGGGCAGCACUCGCAGCAGGAGCCGAUACAACAGCUCCUGGUCAUAGUGCUGGGCGUACAGCACUGCAGAGCCCAGCACGGCAACGAGCAGCAGCAGGAGGCUGACGAAGAUGAGGCAGAUUGUCCUGGGGGGCAAAAGACGGCCGGGCUGGGAAUGAGGCGUUCCGACCCCACGGCAGCACAGCCCCACACAGCACCAAAGGGGCCGCCCGGGAGCCCCGCCGGCUGCAGCGGGGUCCAGGCCAUCAGCCCACUGCCUGGAGCCCGGCUGCUGCUGGCUGGGCACAGGGCAAUGAGGGGAUACUCACUUCAUCCAGAAGGCGAGCCCUCGUCUCCUCGCCUGCUCCUUCUUCUCCUGUAGGUGAAGAUGGGGCAGGGGCGCUGGUCAGGCCCUGCUGCACAGCCGGAGCUCGUGCAGGACAGUGGCAGCCCCAGCACUGCAGGGAGCCCUGUCCCCGAGGAGAACCUUGUCGGACAGGGUGAGGGUGCGCUGGGCUCUGCCCCUUACCAGCUCUGCCUCCACCAGCUCCGGCAGCACAGCCCCAGGCACGUGGGCUGCCUCCAGCUCCAGCUGAUGCUGCUGCCUGUAGGGAACAAGGCCUGCUUGGAGGGUGCCGGCCUCUGUCAGCACGCGGGCUCCCCAGCAGUGCGUGCCCACCCCCGGGCUGGGGUCGGGCUGCUCUGUCACACCAUAUGCUGAACAGAACCCGAGCCCCAAGCCCAGCAGCACUUGCAGACUCCUGAAAAAUACCAUUGUAUCCACACAGCCACUGAGCGGUUGACCACAACUCUGGCUGUGACCAUCCAUCCAAUUCGACAUACAGUGAGUGGUCCAUCCAUCAAUUCACGCCUCACCCCUCUCUCUUCAGAGGGAAGGGUCUCAUACAGGGCAGUAUCAAAUGUCUUCCACCAGUUCAGGUAGACGGAAAGUGCCAUCCUCUCACCAUCUACCCUCCAGGGUAGAUCCAUCAGCUCCUUUUGGCCUUCCAGCACGCCACACAGAUGAAAUCUCACCGUGACCUUUCAAGUCACAUGCCUGAUGCUGACCUUGCAGGUAGACACGUCCGUGUUAUGCACCCAUCAUGUGCUAAUGUUCGGGGGAUGUGAAAACCCAUACCCAAGGCCUCUUCCUGUAUGCAGGCAAUCAGCUUCCCAGGCAGAAGGGAUCUCUCAAUCCACCUGCCAAGCGGGUGCCUUCUGCUGGCUUACCAGACACACGGGGAUGACCAUGAGCUGCAUUCCUAAAGGUACAGAGCUCAGCCCGGAAUUAAAGGCUGUCGUAUUGGCUACUACAGAAAGAAUGUCUUCCAAGGCCCUUUGCCAGCCUUGUUCCUGCUGCAGGUCUGUCACUUCCAGAGACAGAAAUAACCUCUCAAACAGCAUCUCAGCCACAUGUUUGGUACAAGGUGGUGAGUUCUGCUUGCACAAGUGACCUCACAGCAAAGUAUCCAUGCGUAUACUCAUCUAUAACGUAGCAGAACUUCCCCUCUGGUUGAGGAGGGGAUGGUCCAGAAGAGUCUGGGUGGGAUCAGUGUGGGAUCAGCACAAAUCCAUGGGUCCCGAUGGGAUGCAUCCACGUGUGCUGAGGGAGCUGGCAGAGGUGACUGCUGAACUGCUCUCUGUCGUCUUCGAUAGGCCCUGGAAAACAGGAGAGGUGCCUGAAGACUGGAGGAUAGCCAGUGUCCCUCUGGUGUUCAGAAAGGGCAAGGAGGAGGGUCUGGGAAACUACAGGCCAGUCAGUCUCACCUCUGUCCCUGGGAAGGUGAUGGAACAGCUGAUUCUGGAUGCCAUCUCCAAGCAAUUGGAAGAGAAGAAGGAUAUGAGGAAUGGUCAGCGUGGGUUCACCAAGAGGAAAUAGCGCUCGGCCAACCUGGUGGCCUUCUGUGAUGGCAUCACAGGUUGGGUGGAUGGGGGUGAGAUCAGGAGCUCAGGUGGGUCUGGGGUUUGAACACAUAGGGGUUAAAUAAGCUAGCUUUAGAAACCAGGGAAGGAGAACGACAUCUCAACAUUUCAUGGUCAGCUGUGCAAACACAAAGAAAGGAAACGAUGCAAAAGGAAUGGCUUUGACUGGUUUGAAUGCACCGUAAGAAGGUCAGACCGAGGAAGACGUGAAGCCUUCGCGAGGAACACUUCUGACUUCAUCCCCACGACCACCAGAGGGAGACCCCUCUUAAGGACAGCGCGUGCGCCGGGGGAGGGGCAGUAUGUAAAUGAAUUUCCGGAAGGAUAAUGAAUAUGUAGAUGACUUCCAAGAAUUCUGCUGAAUAUGUAUGGCUUUGGCUUACAAAUCCGUAGCGCUUUUUGCUCGCUGGUGUGCAAGUUUGGUGGAGUGAUCCCCCUUGCACCCGGCCAGCCAAAUAAACAUACCUGCUUUAUAACCUAACCGGGUAUAGAGUUUGAUUCCACACAUCACUGCCAUUCCUGAGUGGUUGGCACUCCGUUUUCUAACUGCCGUUCCCGUGCUGCUUCCGAGGGAGCGUUUCCCAUUGAGCCCACCUACUUCUUCCCCUUUUUUCACCGUCAGCUUCAUCGCUGAGCCCUCUGACUGCCUUUCAUUCACUUUCCCCCAGUUUGGAAGAUUCCCAUUGCUUAUUAGGCCACAGCGAGACACGUUUAUAAAACACAAAUGUGGAACCCG
rnacentral:lncRNA from 1 species